rnacentral:rRNA from 1 species
AUUGAACGCUGGCGGCAGGCCUAACACAUGCAAGUCGAGCGAGCGGCGGACUGGUGAGUAAUGUCUGGGAAACUGCCUGAUGGAGGGGGAUAACUACUGGAAACGGUAGCUAAUACCGCAUACCCUCAGAUGUGCCCAGAUGGGAUUAGCGCGUAGGUGGGGUAACGGCUCACCUAGGCGACGAUCCCUAGCUGGUCUGAGAGUAUGACCAGCCACACUGGAACGGAGACACGGUCCAGACUCAUAAGGGAGGCAGCAGUGGGGAAUAUUGCACAAUGGGCGCAAGCCUGAUGCAGCCAUGCCGCGUGUGUGAAGAAGGCCUUCGGGUUGUAAAGCACUUUCAGCGGGGAGGCGGUACCCGCAGAAGAAGCACCGGCUAACUCCGUGCCAGCAGCCGCGGUAAUAC